UGGGGAUAUAACCUGAAAUCUUUGAGAAUUUGGUGUACCUCUCCUUUAAUCUCCCCAUUCAGGUCCAAACCUGUGGCGUACACUCAGGAAGAUCAUUAGCCAAAUGGAAAAAGAAAACCAACUUUAUUAAUCUGUGCAAGCAUAAUAUGAUGGACGACGUGGGACUGCCUGGUAAAAGCUCAGCAGGAGAACAUGAUUUGACCUCAGGUAUGACAGCAUCUGUUCUGAUUGGCCAAUGCCUGUAUUCUGGAGGUUCUACAAAUGGUGACCGGUGGCCACGUUUCAUAGCUGACAGCAGUGGUUCUGCAGGUAUGACCCAGAAGAACAAGAGGACUGCAAGGAAAUGUUGGAAAUGGACAGACAAAGGUAGACCUAUGUUGGGUUUAAAAAUCAUUUUUAAGAGCUCUUGAACAUUUCAGAACUUUAAAUUAUUAAGUCACAUAGAUUUAGAAAAUGGUUCUAACUGCAGUGUGGCAAAUAGAGUGGAGUUAGAACAGAGUAAAACCAGAGGCAGUAAGAAAGCCAUUGUCGAGCUGAGAGACUAUGGAGACAAUGAAGGUAGACACAGCCCCAUGGAAUUAUUCAAUACAAGGAGAGAAUCAUCCUUACAGUGUUUAAUCCCACUUCCAACCUAAUGUUUAACUCUUCUCUGCAAUCACUACCAGGUUGCUAUAUACCUCUCCUCUUGAACACCUUCCAAUAUUGAUCUAAAACAAAAUCAUAUGUAUGCUAGUAUAACUGAGCAAUAAAGCACACAGACUGGAUUCA
ensembl:lncRNA